CGCCGCCUGCGGUGUUCGACAAGCAGUUCGGGUUACCUCGGACCCUAUUUGAAACACCCAGGGGUGAAGCUUUCGACAGCAUUGUGCAUGUCCGCCCUGAGCGGGAAGCCUUACCUGCCGUCAGCCCGCCCCACCUGUUGCUCCGGUUCGAGAGCAACGACCUGCACCGGCACAGGCGGGUGGCGC
rnacentral:other from 1 species